rnacentral:lncRNA from 1 species
AUGUUCACACCAUCCACUCCAUCACUCACACCAUCACUCCAUCACUCCACACCAUCCACUCCAUCACUCACACCAUCACUCCAUCACUCCACACCAUCCACUCCAUCACUCACUCCAUCACUCCAUCACUCCACACCAUCCACUCCAUCACUCACUCCAUCACUCACUCCAUCACUUCAUCACUCACACCAUCCACUUCAUCACUUCAUCACUCACACCAUCCACUCCAUCACUCACACCAUCCACUCCAUCACUCACACCAUCCACUUCAUCACUCCAUCACUCACUCCAUCACUCACACCAUCCACUCCAUCACUCACUCCAUCACUCACUCCAUCACUUCAUCACUCACACCAUCCACUUCAUCACUUCAUCACUCACACCAUCCACUCCAUCACUCACACCAUCCACUCCAUCACUCACACCAUCCACUUCAUCACUCCAUCACUCACACCAUCCACUCCAUCACUCACACCAUCCACUCCAUCACUCACUCCAUCACUCACACCAUCCACUCCAUCACUCACACCAUCCACUCACUCCAUCACUCACACCAUCCACUCCAUCACUCACUCCAUCACUCACACCAUCCACUCCAUCACUCACACCAUCCACUCACUCCAUCACUCACACCAUCCACUCCAUCACUCACUCCAUCACUCACACCAUCCACUCCAUCACUCACUCCAUCACUCACACCAUCCACUCACUCCAUCACUCACACCAUCCACUCCAUCACUCACUCCAUCACUCACACCAUCCACUCCAUCACCCACUCCAUCACUCACACCAUCCACUCACUCCAUCACUCACACCAUCCACUUCAUCACUCACUCCAUCACUCACACCAUCCACUCCAUCACUCACUCCAUCACUCCACACCAUCCACUCCAUCACUCACUCCAUCACUCACACCAUCCACUUCAUCACUCCAUCACUCACACCAUCCACUCACUCCAUCACUCACACCAUCACUCACUCCAUCACUCACACCAUCCACUCAUCACUCCAUCACUCACACAAUCCACUUCAUCACUCCAUAACUCACACCAUCCACUUCAUUACACCAUCCACUUCAUCACACCAUCCACAAACACCUGGAUGAAGAGAAUGGCCUCAGUCUUCCAUACACAGGAAGUGCUC